rnacentral:rRNA from 1 species
AUGAUGACUCUCGGCAACGGAUAUCUCGGCUCUCGCAUCGAUGAAGAACGUAGCGAAAUGCGAUACUUGGUGUGAAUUGCAAAAUCCCGUGAACCAUCGAUCUUUGAACGCAAGUUGCGCCUGAGGCCACCCGGUCGAGGGCACGCCUGGCUGGGCAUCACGC